rnacentral:rRNA from 1 species
GAUGAACGCUGGCGGCGUGCCUAAUACAUGCAAGUCGAGCGAAUGGAUUAAGAGCUUGCUCUUAUGAAGUUAGCGGCGGACGGGUGAGUAACACGUGGGUAACCUGCCCAUAAGACUGGGAUAACUCCGGGAAACCGGGGCUAAUACCGGAUAACAUUUUGAACCGCAUGGUUCGAAAUUGAAAGGCGGCUUCGGCUGUCACUUAUGGAUGGACCCGCGUCGCAUUAGCUAGUUGGUGGGGUAACGGCUCAACAAGGGAACGAUGCGUAGCGGACCUGAGAGGGUGAUCGGCCACACUGGGACUGAGACACGGCCCAGACUCCUACGGGAGGCAGCAGUAGGGAAUCUUCCGCAAUGGACGAAAGUCUGACGGAGCAACGCCGCGUGAGUGAUGAAGGCUUUCGGGUCGUAAAACUCUGUUGUUAGGGAAGAACAAGUGCUAGUUGAAUAAGCUGGCACCUUGACGGUACCUAACCAGAAAGCCACGGCUAACUACGUGCCAGCCGCCGCUGUAA